AAUUUAGCCAACUGGAUCUGGAGUCUUCUGUUUCUUCACGGAAGAGCCAUGACAAAGACAGUGGCCACACAAGUCCUUCAUGGCCACCCUCCCCCUGCCUCAUCCAGUAAGUGAGAGCAACCACUUCUGGAGGUGAGAAGGGGGUCUCCUCCAUAGCCCUGGGGUCCACCUAGCUGCA
rnacentral:sRNA from 1 species